rnacentral:tRNA from 1 species
CUGAGGAUGUGGCUUAGUUGGUAGAGUGCUUGCCUUGCAUGCACAAGGCCCUGGGUUCAAUCCCCAGGCCUCACG